CGACUGCCUGCGCGACGCGCUUGGGCCGGGUACUCCUCCCGGGCGGCUGGGGAGGCUGGGCCGCGCUGAGCAGAGCCAGGAAGUGUCUGCGAGCGGCGGAGUUAGUUUCGUUUCGGCUUAGCCUUCCGGAGAUGGCGUGAGCCCGUUGCACGGAUCGGGAAACUGAGGCCCGAACGUUAAGGGAACUGCGGGGACGCGCUGUUAGGAGGCGGCAGAGCUGGUGGUAACCUGACCCGUGGGAUUUCAAAGUUAAAGCCCUUUUCCCACGGCCACACGGCUUCGUGGGACUUUAUGGAAAUAUUGAAAAUAACUGCGGUACCAUUGUCAGUCCCUUCUCACCUCGGGCCGGACGUCGCUAGUGGACGCGCCGGCCCCGAGUCCCUUCCCGCGGCCGCCAGACAGACCCCCGACAGCCUAACUCGGCGUCCGUAUCGCCGUCGGGGCGGCUGAAGUCGGAGCUUUCUGUGGAGCUUGUUAGGCAGAGGCACCUCGACUGUGGCUUUUGGACCACACUUCGGAUUCACCCGGGCAGAUGAUUAAAAAUGCCGGUUUCGGGACCCGCCCUAUUCCCAUGGAAUUAGUCUGGAGCUUGGGCCCCGGAGUCUGCAUGUCUAAUAAGCGUCCCUGGGGUUACCAAGGCACCCCAAAGUUUAAAAGUCACUCGGUGUUGGAGGAUUUUUAGACAGACGCGAUACUACAAGUACUGCUAAUGACCUAUUUUAAAAUGACCCAGAUAAUCGCAGUGUGACUUUAUAGCCACUGGUCAAUGUGGAUAUGUGCAAACUAGGGAAGCUCCUGAUCUUGGGUAGAGAGGAAGCAACUUUGUCAUUGAUUUGAGAAUUCAAGUAGGACUCCUUUGACUAAGUGUUCAAUACUAUAGAAUCUUUACACACUUGUGAAUAUAUUUCCUAGAAUUCAUAACUACUUCUAGUUGUCCUUGUUUUGUAGCCAUCUGGGACGCUGAAUUUCCAGAAUAGAUUGAAUUGUAACUGGAGUCAGA
rnacentral:lncRNA from 1 species